rnacentral:lncRNA from 1 species
AUCCUGCGGGGAAGGGAGCUACCUGCACGGCCGCCUGCGAACUGUGCGCGCACACGCGCACAGUGGGGGCAAGACGUGUGCAUAGCGCACACGUCCCAUCCACAUGUGCGGCGCGGGGUCAAACCCUGCACGCAUCUUAUCGCGCGCAGGCGAGCCCUCCGUGCGUCACCUCACAUGUCGUCCGCGCAGCAAGCUUGCGCAAAUAGGCAACUAUGCGCUUGGGGCCUACAGGCAGUAGGUCUGCAUACGAGGAGGCU